rnacentral:rRNA from 1 species
UGGGGAAUAUUGCACAAUGGGCGCAAGCCUGAUGCAGCCAUGUCGCGUGUAUGAAGAAGGCCUUCGGGUUGUAAAGUACUUUCAGCGGGGAGGAAGGUGUUGAGGUUAAUAACCUCAGCAAUUGACGUUACCCGCAGAAGAAGCACCGGCUAACUCCGUGCCAGCAGCCGCGGUAAUACGGAGGGUGCAAGCGUUAAUCGGAAUUACUGGGCGUAAAGCGCACGCAGGCGGUUUGUCAAGUCGGAUGUGAAAUCCCCGGGCUCAACCUGGGAACUGCAUUCGAAACUGGCAGGCUAGAGUCUUGUAGAGGGGGGUAGAAUUCCAGGUGUAGCGGUGAAAUGCGUAGAGAUCUGGAGGAAUACCGGUGGCGAAGGCGGCCCCCUGGACAAAGACUGACGCUCAGGUGCGAAAGCGUGGGGAGCAAACA